rnacentral:lncRNA from 1 species
ACAAGCAAAUACUAGACAAUAUGAAAAGAGAAGAGUUAGAAGCCCUCAAACAGAUUUUGGAAGAGGAAGAAGGGGCUUCUCGAACUCUGAGUCUUCUCUUUGAAUGCGCUAAAGAUUUGAUGUCAGAAGGAGAGCCUUGAAUGCGAAGGAAAGAGUUUGUUGGAUGGAGUUCAAUGCGCUUCUUCCUUCUUUCUCUUGUAUUUACUCUUGAGAGUCUUUGGUAGGUGGAAAUUCCUUUUGUUUGAAUGGAAUAGCUCUCUUGGUGUCUACUACUGUUCACUCUGGCUAUUUAAGCAGUCCCCUUUGAAAACUAGCCGUUAGACACUAAUUUGUGGCUGUUUUGCACAAUCUGCAACUCCUGAUAAUGUAUCCGUUGGGGUCGGAGUUGACUCGCUCGAUCUGGAGUCGACUCGGCUGUUGCUGGAGUCGACUCAUGCUUUACUGGAGACGACUCGCCCACUGUUCAGGAUUUGAAUUAAAGUGCUGUUCCGUUCUGGAGUCGACUC